rnacentral:rRNA from 6 species
UCGUAGGUGAACCUGCGGAAGGAUCAUUG